rnacentral:rRNA from 1 species
UACAGAGGAGCCAAGCGUUGUCCGGAUUGACUGGGCGUAAAGCGCACGCAGGCGGCCGCGCGCGUGGGGUGUGAAAUCUGGCCGCUUAACGGCCAGGCGCCAUCCCAUACGGCGCGGCUGGAGCCAUGCAGAGGGCGGUGGAAUUGCCGGUGUAGUGGUGAAAUGCGUAGAGAUCGGCAGGAACACCCAGGGGGAAACCAGCCGCCUGG